ACGUCACAGUUCCUUCGAUACGCAUAGCAACGAUCCCACUGGGGACAAACAAAAGUAGCGUCGUCUCCACCGAACCAGUUGUCAGUGGCAACAUAUAGGAAUCGUGUACAUUUCUUCGUUUCUUCUUUGCUGUUUUCAGUGAGUGUUUUGUUUUCUCUUUGUCCUUGAUCUCGACGGCGUUAUCGUGCUCAUUACCUUACUGAGACGUCUCUUGUGACUGUAGCCAGUGUCACGGAGGAUUUUAUUGGCGUGACGAGGUAGAUCGCCGAGAUCGAGCGUGAAAACGCUCUGCAUUAGUAGCUCCUGUAGAAUGUCUUCUGGGAUGGCGUAUCCAUGGUCAACAAAGCCAAGGUGCAAGACAGCAUAAGAGAUCGUGUAAACGAUGUGAACUCCAAAAGGUUCAAGGCUAGAUGCACUUCACAUUCGGCGUGGGAUCUCGGCGUCUGGGACCUGAUAACGUCUUGGUUGGAUGGGUGAUCAAGGAUGAUACUACUCGGCACACCAAUGUACAUGUCAAUGUAGUUUUUACUUUUUCAGAGCUGCACUAUUUACGUCUUGAUGCUUACUUCGGUGCUAGAGUCGUGUUUUUUUUUCCUCUACAAAA